rnacentral:rRNA from 1 species
GACAGAGGGGGCAAGCGUUGUCCGGAGUAACUGGGCGUACAGCGCGCGCAGGCGGAUGCGGACGUGCCGUGUCACAGCCCUGAGCUCACCUCAGGGUGGCCACGGUAGACGCCGCGUCUAGAGGCAGGGAGAGGGAUGUGGAAUACCCGGUGGAGCGGUGAAAUGCGUAGAGAUGUGGAGGAAUACCGAUGGCGAAGGCAGCCCCCUGGGAUGACACUGACGCUGAAGCACGAAAGCGUGGGGAGCAAACAGG